GGGAAUGUGGCUCAGUGGUAGAGUGCUCGCCUAGCUUGCGUGAGGCACUGGGUUUGAUCCUCAGCACCACCU
rnacentral:tRNA from 1 species